CAGGAAAUAGUUUAAAAUAAAAUUUUAAUUUUGGAGAUUAAAGAUAAAUUGGAUAAUAUUUUUUCCUGA
rnacentral:tRNA from 1 species